AGCUUAGAGAGCUUGCUUUUUAAGCUUAGUGGCGAACGGGUGAGUAACGCGUGAGCAACCUGCCUUUGUGAGGGGGAUAACACAGGGAAACUUGUGCUAAUACCGCAUGACGCAUACGAAAGACAUCUUUAGUAUGUUAAAGGAGCAAUCCGCAAAAAGAUGGGCUCGCGUCCGAUUAGCUAGUUGGUGAGGUAACGGCCCACCAAGGCGACGAUCAGUAGCCGGACUGAGAGGUUGACCGGCCACAUUGGGACUGAGAUACGGCCCAGACUCC
rnacentral:rRNA from 1 species